AGAGUUUGAUCAUGGCUCAGAACGAACGUUGGCGGCGUGGAUUAGGCAUGCAAGUCGAACGCGAACCCGCAAGGGGGAGAGUGGCGUAAGGGGCAGUAAGGCGUGAAUAACCUACCCUGGAGUCGUGAAUAGCCAGCCUAACGGCUGGGUAAUGCACGGCACCGUAGCGAGGCGGCAUCGCCAUGCUACGAAAGAUUUAUCGCUCCGGGAGGGGUUCACGUGCUAUUAGCUUGUUGGUGAGGUAACGGCUCACCAAGGCUAAGAUGGCUAGCGGGUGUGAGAGCACGACCCGCGCCACUGGCACUGAGACACUGGCCAGACACCUACGGGUGGCUGCAGUCGAGGAUCUUCCGCAAUGGACGAAAGUCUGACGGAGCGACGCCGCGUGUGCGAUGAAGGCCUUCGGGUUGUAAAGCACUGUCGAGGGGGAGGAAGCCGCAAGGUUGACCGAUCCCUGGAGGAAGCACGGGCUAAGUUCGUGCCAGCAGCCGCGGUAAUAC
rnacentral:rRNA from 1 species